CUCGUAGGCGGUUUGUCACGUCGGGCGUGAAAACUCAGGGCUCAACCCUGAGCGUGCGUCCGAUACGGGCAGACUAGAGGUAUGCAGGGGAGAACAGAAUUCCUGGUGUAGCGGUGGAAUGCGCAGAUAUCAGGAGGAACACCGGUGGCGAAGGCGGUUCUCUGGGCAUUACCUGACGCUGAGGAGCGAAAGCAUGGGGAGCGAACA
rnacentral:rRNA from 1 species